UGCGUAGGCGGACUAAUAAGUCAGUGGUGAAAUCUUUCGGCUCAACCGAGAAACUGCCAUUGAUACUGUUAAUCUUGAGUUCGGUUGAGGUAGGCGGAAUGUGUAAUGUAGCGGUGAAAUGCUUAGAUAUUACACAGAACACCAAUUGCGUAGGCAGCUUACUAGACCGACACUGACGCUGAGGCACGAAAGCGUGGGGAGCGAACAGGAUUAGAUACCCUGGUAGUCC
rnacentral:rRNA from 1 species